UACGUAGGUGGCAAGCGAUACUCGGAAUCACUAGGCGUAAAGCGCAGGUAGGUGGUUUGGUAAGUCUGUUGUGAAAGCUCCCGGCUUAACUGGGAGAGGUCAACGGAAACUACCAGGCUAGAGUGCGGUAGAGGUAGCUGGAAUUCCCGGUGUAGCGGUGAAAUGCGUAGAUAUCGGGAGGAAUACCUAUGGCGAAAGCAGGCUACUGGACCGUCACUGACUCUGAUCUGCGAAAGCUAGGGGAGCAAACAGG
rnacentral:rRNA from 1 species